rnacentral:misc_RNA from 1 species
AAAAGCAUGAGUUAGUAAUGGAAAAGGUUUUUGACAUUUUCUUCACCUUAUAAGAAACUUAGUAAUGGUGCUAAUGGAAAACCUUUUUUACUGAAACAACUCACAACUGACAUCCCCUUAUAAAACAGUAAUCCAUUCAUUUUAUUUUAUAAUCUCAUCUACACAUCUCUACUGCUCUGCAAAGAAAAGAAAGUGUCAAUUGCUAAUAAGCAUAAGAUCAAGGGGUUAAUUCAGCAGCCUUACAAUGCUUCAGUGCGGGUUAUGUUAGCUUCAAUGGAACGGAAUGUGCUGCCUGAUGCUAUCUUAAGGAGCCUCACUCGAUUGCUCUUGGCAGCCCGUCUUCGUUCUGGUUACAAGCCUUCCUCUGAGCUCCAG